CCCUUAGAUGUUCUGGGCCGCACGCGCGCUACACUGAUGCAUUCAACGAGCCUAUCCUUGACCGACAGGUCCGGGUAAUCUUUGAAUCUGCAUCGUGACGGGGAUAGAUUAUUGCAAUUAUUAAUCUUCAACGAGGAAUGCCUAGUAGGCGCAAGUCAUCAGCUUGCGUCGAUUACGUCCCUGCCAUUUGUACACACCGCCCGUCGCUCCUACCGAUUGGGUGUGCUGGUGAAAUGUUCGGAUCGGCCGUUUGUCGCGGUUUCCGCGGCUCGUGGCUGAGAAGUUCAUUAAACCCUCCCACCUAGAGGAAGGAGAAGUCGUAACA
rnacentral:rRNA from 1 species